UACGUAGGGUGCGAGCGUUAAUCGAAAUUACUGGGCGUAAAGCGUGCGCAGGCGGUGAUGUAAGACAGAUGUGAAAUCCCCGGGCUCAACCUGGGAACUGCAUUUGUGACUGCAUCGCUGGAGUGCGGCAGAGGGGGAUGGAAUUCCGCGUGUAGCAGUGAAAUGCGUAGAUAUGCGGAGGAACACCGAUGGCGAAGGCAAUCCCCUGGGCCUGCACUGACGCUCAUGCACGAAAGCGUGGGGAGCAAACAGG
rnacentral:rRNA from 1 species